GGUCAAGAGCCAUGCAUGCCACUGUUUGAUCUCAGUCUGAUCCGUCCUUGACUGGGUUUGGUCUGUCCUGUAACAGGAAACUUCUUAGCUGUGGAGUUGGAAUCCAAGGCCUCCUAUGUUUUCCUGGUCUUCCUGGUCGUGUUUUCCUGUUUGUUCUGGCUGAACAAGUCUCACAAAACUAUUGUAUUUUAGCCUGAGGACAAUCCAGAU